rnacentral:rRNA from 1 species
CUACGGGUCGCUCCAGUGAGGAAUAUUGCACAAUGGAGGAAACUCUGAUGCAGCAACGCCGCGUGGAGGAUGACGCAUUUCGGUGUGUAAACUCCUUUUAUAUGUCAAGAAAAUGACGGUAGCAUAUGAAUAAGCACCGGCUAACUCCGUGCCAGCAGCCGCGGUAAUACGGAGGGUGCAAGCGUUACUCGGAAUCACUGGGCGUAAAGGACGCGUAGGCGGGAUAUCAAGUCAGGUGUGAAAUCCUACAGCUUAACUGUACAACUGCACUUGAAACUGGUAACCUAGAGUAUGGGAGGGGGAGAUGGAAUUAGUGGUGUAGGGGUAAAAUCCGUAGAUAUCACUAGGAAUACCUAAAGCGAAGGCGAUCUCCUGGAACAUAACUGACGCUAAGGCGUGAAAGCGUGGGGAGCAAACAGGAUUAGAUACCCUCGUAGUC